CAUCCAUGGACUUCUGGACCGGGUCAUGCAGCUGCUGGACGUCAAACCAGGCCGUAACCAAGGAUACCACAUCCAGGCGGCAGAGGACUCCACCUUCUUCCCAGGCCGCUGUGCUGAGAUCUUUACAUGUGGCAAAAGCAUCGGACACCUCGGGGUCCUUCACCCUGAUGUCAUCAGUUGUUUUGAGCUCACCAUGCCCUGCUCCGCCAUCGAUAUCGACAUCGAACCCUUCCUGUGAUGUCAUAAUGCAAAUAACCUUAGCCACACCCCUCCGCUUUGGGCUCCUCCCAGCCACUCAUUACUGUCACCUCUAUCUUUAGGAAAACGAGUAAUAGCCACAACAGCGUGUGUUACUUUAUGUUCAGGAUAUAAAUCAAUGUUUUAAUAAAACUCAGCUUGUCCACUGCUAGUAUGUUAUUCAUAUAUUAAACAUCAUGGCUGUAUGUUUAUGUCCAGCACAUUUUACAACAUAGAAACAAAUAAAUAUGGAUGAAUACAA